CGGGUGAGUAACACGUGGGUAACCUGCCCAUAAGACUGGGAUAACUCCGGGAAACCGGGGCUAAUACCGGAUAACAUUUUGAACUGCAUGGUUCGAAAUUGAAAGGCGGCUUCGGCUGUCACUUAUGGAUGGACCCGCGUCGCAUUAGCUAGUUGGUGAGGUAACGGCUCACCAAGGCAACGAUGCGUAGCCGACCUGAGAGGGUGAUCGGCCACACUGGGACUGAGACACGGCCCAGACUCCUACGGGAGGCAGCAGUAGGGAAUCUUCCGCAAUGGACGAAAGUCUGACGGAGCAACGCCGCGUGAGUGAUGAAGGCUUUCGGGUCGUAAAACUCUGUUGUUAGGGAAGAACAAGUGCUAGUUGAAUAAGCUGGCACCUUGACGGUACCUAACCAGAAAGCCACGGCUAACUACGUGCCAGCAGCCGCGGUAAUACGUAGGUGGCAAGCGUUAUCCGGAAUUAUUGGGCGUAAAGCGCGCGCAGGUGGUUUCUUAAGUCUGAUGUGAAAGCCCACGGCUCAACCGU
rnacentral:rRNA from 2 species